rnacentral:rRNA from 1 species
GGGUUGGGCCAAAUAGCACAAACGUAGCCGUCCUGAGAGGGUGACCGGCCACACUGGGACUGAGACACGGCCCAGACUCCUACGGGAGGCAGCAGUGGGGAAUAUUGCACAAUGGGCGGAAGCCUGAUGCAGCAACGCCGCGUGAGGGAUGACGGCCUUCGGGUUGUAAACCUCUUUUAGCAGGGAAGAAGCGAAAGUGACGGUACCUGCAGAAAAAGCGCCGGCUAACUACGUGCCAGCAGCCGCGGUAAUACGUAGGGCGCAAGCGUUAUCCGGAAUUAUUGGGCGUAAAGAGCUCGUAGGCGGUUUGUCGCGUCUGCUGUGAAAUCCCGAGGCUCAACCUCGGGCCUGCAGUGGGUACGGGCAGACUAGAGUGCGGUAGGGGAGAUUGGAAUUCCUGGUGUAGCGGUGGAAUGCGCAGAUAUCAGGAGGAACACCGAUGGCGAAGGCAGAUCUCUGGGCCGUAACUGACGCUGAGGAGCGAAAGGGUGGGGAGCAAACAGGCUUAGAUACCCUGGUAGUCCACCCCGUAAACGUUGGGAACUAGUUGUGGGGUCCAUUCCACGGAUUCCGUGACGCAGCUAACGCAUUAAGUUCCCCGCCUGGGGAGUACGGCCGCAAGGCUAAAACUCAAAGGAAUUGACGGGGACCCGCACAAGCGGCGGAGCAUGCGGAUUAAUUCGAUGCAACGCGAAGAACCUUACCAAGGCUUGACAUAUACGAGAACGGGCCAGAAAUGGUCAACUCUUUGGACACUCGUAAACAGGUGGGUGCAUGGUUGUCGUCAGCUCGUGUCGUGAGAUGUUGGGUUAAGUCCCGCAACGAGCGCAACCCUCGUUCUAUGUUGCCAGCACUAAUUGCUGGGAACUCAUGGGAUACUGCC